CAUAUGGCCCGAGGAGGAGGAGGAGAGGGAGGAAGGGGGCGGCUGCUCCCUGCCAGCGGCCCGUCACGUGUGGAGCUCUGCUUUUGGCAUCGCCUACGUGUUUGUGAGGGGAGGGGGGUGUGAAAUCAGCUUCUGCUUCCAGGAAUCCUCCCAGUACAGGAUAUGCAGUGGGGAGCUGGUAAACAUGAUCCAAGGGCCAGGCUGUAACUCAAUCGGCUCCUGGCGUUAGCUGCUCCCUGCCCGAGCACCUCGCGAGCCCCGUGGCUUCCCGGGGGUCAGUGUGUGAGAUGUGUCCCCGGGCACGGGGCAGUGCUGGGGGCCAGAGCUGAUGGGAACUGCUCAGGAGCUCAGGAGGAGCUUGCACAAAGGCUAUGGGGACGAGGCAGCUUCUCCAGCCUACGUGGGGUGGAUAUUUCUCGAGUGCAGUCCAGGUUCAGCUGCUACUUGCAAACCCUCUCUGGCCUCAGCUGUGGGUUCCCCAAGUCAGAAAUAGCCACUUGGCCGAGGAGCAAACAUCUCCCCCAGCCUCCCUCCCCCUCCCCAGCUCCCUGUUCUGGCGGGUAACAGCCUGCACCCAUUCACAGAUAGCAGUGGCUGUCCUGUGGAGGCUGCCAGCACGCCUCAGCCUGUUCCUAAUCUGCCUGCUUGCAAAAAUACAGCUCACUUGGGCUCUUUCCCCUCCUCCCUCCCUCCCUCCCUCCCUUCCUUCCCCACUGCUCAGGACAGCUUGUUUACUGCUGGGUGCAGGGAAAGUGUGACCUCCCCUGCCUGCCAUUCCCCGCUUCAGUUCUCCCAGGGGCCCUGGGGAUGUGUGAGGGGACGGGGUCCUGAUUUCCCUGCACCCCCAGAUGCCAGAGGAAGGGGCUGGGAAGGGCAUUUUGCAAUAACAACAGGUUUCAUUGAUGAGACCAAUAUCAGGCUUGUGGAUGUUUUUUUUGCUUCCAGCCUCAAUGCAGGGGCUGAGUAUUGAUGAGUUCAAGCACAGGACCUGGGGAGGUGGGAAUGGGGGUGAAAUUAGUCAAUAGGGAGUACUGAAGCUGUGCAGGUGAGGAUGGGGAAGGAAAGCUUUGGGGCUUGUCUGAAGUAGCAGAGAAGGAGGUGCCUGGGGACAGAGACAUCAUGAUGUUGAGAUCUUCUUGGUGGGUGGGGAUGGACUUCCUAUGGCAUGGAGGACUGCUGUGCCCUCUGUGCCCAGCCUGGCCUGCCUGUAGCAGAUGGAUUUGGAUGAGAGGAGUGUCAGGGUGGGCAGAGGGAUCGGAGAGCUUGGCAGAGCUGGCUCAGCAGAGCAGGGAGCAUUAGGGGGCCACAGAACCUGUCCCUCCCUGACCUCACAUCCAAGUCUUCAGCAAACUGACCCCAGUCAAUUUCUAAAUAUAUUCUUUAGCUCACAUCGGUGAAGAACAGGAUCUGAACUCUAUUUUUUAGCCCUUGGUUUAGUUUCUUUCAGAAAGGAGGAGGUGGCCAGGGCAGGCCAGGCCCUGCAGGACACGGGGUGGGUUUGGUGCCACCCCAGGGUUUGUUUGUAUUUUUAGAGCGUGACGCAGGCAUAAGGCCAUCAAAGUGAGUGAAAUUCCACUCUAGAGCCUGGAGCAGCUCCCUGUCCCCAUCCUCCUCCUCAGGGAUGGGCUGGAGUCAACAGCUGAGAUGGGGCUCAAGUGUCCUGGCUGUGGCAGUGCCCAGAUGAGGCGAGGGACAGAUGGGUGGGUGAGUCGCAGGGCUCCGGGUGGAAGAGCAAGGAGGUAGGCAGAGGACAGUCCUCCUGCUGUUAUCACUCCUAGAACAGCCUCCUGGGAGUGGAGGUCUGCCUGUGCCAUGCUGGGAUGGUGCAGAGUGCCUGACGCCUCUUGGCACAAGUGAUCUUGUUUGGUAGGGCAAUGGGCACCUUGCCCUGAGGGAACUGGGGGCAUGGGGAUGCUGAGAGGAGACUGGGACAAACUGGGGAAGGGUGGGGAGCUCGGAUACAUCGAGGAGACCAGGGUGUACUGUGCUUACUCAAUGGAGUGGUGAGUUGGCAAUGUGGUGAGUCAAAAGCUGGGGAGAGGGGAAAAACCUGGCAAAUGGGAUCUGGAGGGGGGAGGGGGCUUAAAAUGGCACAGCACAUCUCCUUAAGAUAACACCUCGGGUCUCUUCAUGGUCUCUAGCAAUGUGUGAUGCAAGUGAAGCAUCUCAGCAGGGCUUGGGCUGGACAGCCAGUGAGUCAGCGGGUGAGAGUCCCACCUCUUGAAUCACCACUGGCAGCACUGGGAGCUCCCGCUGCCCCCUCCUCCUGCCAAGGGGUGAUGGAGUCACAGUCCCCAGGGGGUGGCUGCAAGGGAAAAGCGUCACUUGAUGAGUUAAACCUGACAUAAAGAGAGAAAGUGUCCCGUGGGAUGCUGACCCAGCUGGAAAGCGUUGCAAGUGACGUUCCCGGGAAGAGCAGGGAGCGUCAGAUCCUGGCUUUAAGGCAAGUGAUUUGCCCAGUCUUUUGGAUAAGCAGGAUGUGCUGAGAGCCUCUGCUUGAGAGCUGCUCCUGGUGAGGUGUGAAACAUCUUCCUCUGCUUUUGCUGGUGAUUUUUCAAGGAGAUACUGUUCCCUGCCAAAAGCUUGGCAUCACCCAGCUCGGGUGGCUGUGAUCACAUCUCACUUGCUUUCAUCCAGGGAUUCAUCCAGCGAUGAGACUCAGCAGGACCAAUGUUCAAACCACAUCUUGACCCUCAAAGGUGGUGACGAGGAGCCCCGUGUGAGGGAGUUGAACCCAGGAGAAGUGGAUGGCACUCUGGAGUGCUGGGUGGCAAUCUGGAGGCUUGCAUGGAGGAAUAACGUGCCCCAUUAUGCAGGGCCUGUUGUUUCAUUGGGCUGCCCUUUCAUCUCAGACUUGGGGGCUCUUUUCUGAGCCAUCUUUCCCUGGUGUGGUGGCACAGGCUGAUGUGAUGGGGAGGGAAUGGCUGGCUCUGCAUGGCAGUAGAGCGGGCAGGGGCUGCCCCGUGGGCAUGCUGAGUCCUUUCUGCUUGGCCAUGCUGAGAACAAGGGCUCCUCUCCACCUUCCCUGUGCCCACACCUCACCUCUAAUGCACUCCAGUUUUGAGGUGGGGUUUUUCCCUCUAAUACACAACCCAGUGCCUGCCUGCCCCUCCUGGCUUUCAUACCAGCGGUCUGUGGCUCUGCUCCAGGGCAUUCCCUCCGCUGUGUUGGGUGGAUUUUCCCUCAAAGAUUGAUCCCAGCGGUGGGAUUGACAGGGUGAGGGCAGGGCUUGGACUUGAUGAUCUUAAAGGUCUUUUCCAACCUAAAUGAUCCUGUGAUUCUACUACUCCAUAUCCUUGCUGCUUACCCAGCUGAAUGAGAAAGGGUAGAUGAGCCAACAGCUAUUUACCACCUACAACCUCUUACUGCUCUUUCUGUGUUGUUCCCUUACAGACUCCUUCCCCUGAUAGUCCUCUUUUUGAGGGGACAGUCCCAUCUGGUGCCAUUCCACAAGAGAUCUCUGGAGCUGCAUUUACAAUGCAGGUACCUCAGAGCCAAGAGCGCUUCAUGGAUUUUUAUUUGCAACCACAAAAGAUUUCUUUUUGGCAUCCUGAGAAGUGCUGCCCACCCCUCCCACAGCCUGCCUCACGGUAGCUUCAUGUGAAUGCUUAAGGAUGUGGGGAAUGCUGGGCUGGAUCAGCCUGUGACUUCCAGCAGCUGGACCAAAACGAAAUGACGUGAGCAUCAAUUAUCCUCCAGGCUGGGGAGGCUGAUGGAAGAAUGGUGCAGAUUCCCUUAAUGCUGAGUAACAAACGAGCACGACAGCUUGGCAAGAUGGUUUGUGUUCCUGAGAGUCUCCAAACAACGCUCCUCCUCGAGCCCUCAGGUCUUUCUGGCUUUUUGAAAAUCGGGGCCAGGGCUGGAGGCCCAGCUGCUCUCUUGCACAGAGAAAAAGGCUUGUUGGCUCCCCAGUUUGCCAGACACUGGCAGUGACCCCAUCAGCUGGAGCAUCAGGCAGCUGGGGAGGUGUCCAAGUCAGCACACAGCAGCUUGAAUGGGAAGCCUCGCAGCAGAAACAGCUUGGAGAGACAGCUUGGGAUGGAACCAAGAUAAAGGCUGACAUCCCUGCACCCUGCUUGAUUCUCCAGUGAUCCAUCCAAGGACUUUCCCUUUCUUCUUUUGAUCCAGUUUGCAGUGGCCUGCUUUUCCCAGCCUGCUUGGUAAUCCUAAGUGAUAAGAGACAGAUGCCUAAAUGUCUCUUAAGGAGCUGGACCUUAAUCCUUACCUACAGCAGUGGUGCUCUGGCUCCUUGUGAGCCAUCUUACAUCUGCAAGGACUGAGCCUCCCAUACAUCACCCCUCUAUCUAGAGCAAAAUGUACCCUGAGAGACACAGGGUGGUGGGGAGCAGGGUUGUGUGGUCAUCGGGCAAGGAGCCAGCAGGGCAGGGCUGAGAUGUACAGCCACCACCUAUGGAUCAUCUGGAAGAGGCUUCUGAAAGCUGGAUGGGACUGAAGAUGCUGACCCAGGUGCAGGAGUAGUAUGGGAUGUGUGUGCGAUACAGCUGCCCACCUAAGAAAAACAAGGUGGGUAGGGGAAAAAGAAAGGCAGGGCAGCAUGUUGUUUGCCAUACAGCAUCUGAGACACUGGUGGGAUGCUCCAUGUGGGCACUGCCCCAGCAAUGGUCGGAUGCAUGGCUCUGCCUUGUCCGGAUGGCUCUGCUAUGCAGCUCUGGAGCUCUUCCUGCUACAGAGGUGAGGCAGAGUCUCAGGAUGGGGCUAAAAAUGUUGUAAUGACAUCUGCAUCCCACCUCAGUGGGGGUUUUGUACUGCAGAGGGCUCCAAUUCCUCGCCUAGAGGCUGCCUUCACCAUGCAAAACAAAAGGGCUGUGGGGCUGGGAGCUCUCCUCUCCCCUCCCUGGUUCCCCUCACCCCUUCAUUUCAACACAUCCCUCCACCUCUGGCUUGUUUGCACAGCUCAAAAUGUUCUGAGCAUUAUCAGUGUUUGCACUUUUGCCACUGUUUGUGUUAGUUGCACUUUAAAGGCAAUAAAGUCAAGCUUUGUUUGCUUACAAA